rnacentral:rRNA from 1 species
UGCCAGCAGCCGCGGUAAUACGGAGGGGGCUAGCGUUGUUCGGAAUUACUGGGCGUAAAGCGCGCGUAGGCGGCGCAUAUAGUUAGAGGUGAAAGGCCUGGGCUCAACCUGGGAACUGCCUUUAAUACUGAUGUGCUAGAGUCCGAGAGGGGGUGGCGGAAUUCCCAGUGUAGAGGUGAAAUUCGUAGAUAUUGGGAAGAACACCAGUGGCGAAGGCGGCCACCUGGCUCGGAACUGACGCUGAGGUGCGAAAGCGUGGGGAGCAAACAGGAUUAGAUA